GAAAUCAAAGUGAUGGGAAAGCAUUGUACAACAGCUGUUGACUUCAGGAUAUUUCAUGGAUGAGUUAUACUCCUUGACUCCCAUGUAAAGUUAACUUAUUUUGCUCUCUGCAUUAGUAUGUUCCAAAUUAACCACACACAAUUUAAUUAGGUGACCGUUCUCUGUAGGAGUGUAUCAUCCGCUUGCUAUGCAAACCGAGGAAAUCAAAGUGGCAAAGCAAUUGAAUGCAUGUGUUGACUUCAGGAUAUCUCAAGGACGAGUUAGAAUCUAUGACGCUCAGGUAAAAUUAACUUAUUUUGCUCUUUGCAUCAGUAUGUUCCAAAUUAACUGCACAAAAUUUAAUUAGGUGAUUAUUUUCUGUAGGGAUGCAUCCUCUGCUUGCUACACAAACUGAGGAAACCAAAGCAGCAAAGCAUUGUACUGCAGAUGUCGACUUCGGAAUAUCUCAUGAACCAGUUAUACUCCUUGAUGCUCACGUAAAAUUAACUUAUUUUGCUCUCUGCAAUUGCAUAAUAGAACGGUUGAGCUAAACAUCUCGCUGCUGAUAUUUUAAAAUGUAUUGCAACCACUAUACAACCCAUCCAUCGUAAUUGAUAUGUUGAGACUGGAUCGUAGUAGUUGUUCUGCCUCAUCUAUCACUAUCUGCGGGCUUGCUUUGAUUAUGUUUCUCCCAACUUUCUGUAACUAAAAAGCAGCCUGUAAAUGUAGCUUGAAUAAAAAUGGUACCUUUCAGUUUUGUGCAAGUUCAAAGUAUUAGUAGUUUUAGUUUGUCCAAUUUUUGCAGGGAUAUUGUGUGAGGUCUGGUACAAACUUUUAAGACAAUCACUUAAUACAUUCAUGGGAUCACCAACUUUUGGCGUUUGUUGAUACUAGCUAGGUGGGGCCAUGAAGACACGAUUCAUGGGAUUACCAACUGCUGGUAUAGCUUAUUCUUUUCUGUUGCAGCUAUUCCGGAGAAGUUUAGAGCUUCUGCAACCUUUUGAAGACACGAUUUGUAGUUGCGGAGAUGAAACAAUCAAUCAGUUGCGAUGCAUUACAUAAUCUUUUUGCUUUGGACAUUGAUGGGUAUUAUUUUGCCACAAAGGACAGGAGCUGUGCCAUUUGACUCGAAGGAUAAAGCGUUCAUCACAAGGGGGUGGUCUUUAGGAUGUACACAAAAGAGGAAAUUUCCUUUUGUAUAGAACCAAAUUAUAUGAUUUAAUUGACCAUUCUCUUGUACACAAUGUUUAUCAUGUAUUAAGUACAUUUUAUUGUCAAAUAUGUUUACUUUUUUUUAGUGCACAAGUUCAUAACUCCUUGGACUUUCUAAUUGCAGGCUCAACUAUUUGAAACCACUAAUCUGAUUUUGUUGGGUCUAUGUAUUAGUGUAUGUGUGUAUUGAAGUUUGGUGAGUCUCAGGAAGAACCAAACUUUUGUUCCUAUCUCAUCNNNNNNNNNNNNNNNNNNNNNNNNNNNNNNNNNNNNNNNNNNNNNNNNNNNNNNNNNNNNNNNNNNNNNNNNNNNNNNNNNNNNNNNNNNNNNNNNNNNNUCUGUUGUUCAAGCUUCAAAUAUAUCUUGUUUAUUAUCUUUCCUUUUCUGCAAACUAAUGGACCAUAUUUCUACUCAAACAGAGGCAAAGACGUCUUCUUAAUGUUGCAGAAGUUUGGAGGCAUCAAGGUCAGUUUUAAUGCACAUAAUGACUAAUGCUUCCGCAUUGUAAUCUCUAAUUUGUUAUCGAGCUUCUAUGCUUCAACACAUCUAAAAUUUCAAAAGCUUUUCCGGGUCGAUACGGUUACUUGAGAAUCAUACCAAAGAUAGCCUUAGCAGUUCAUUCCAUACCAAACUUGAGCAACACAAAAGUUAAGUUAGGUGACUGUUCUUUGUAGGAAUGCAUCCUCCUCUUGCUAUGCAAACUGAGGAAAUCAAAGUGAUGGGAAAGCAUUGUACAACAGCUGUUGACUUCAGGAUAUUUCAUGGAUGAGUUAUACUCCUUGACUCCCAUGUAAAGUUAACUUAUUUUGCUCUCUGCAUUAGUAUGUUCCAAAUUAACCACACACAAUUUAAUUAGGUGACCGUUCUCUGUAGGAGUGUAUCAUCCGCUUGCUAUGCAAACCGAGGAAAUCAAAGUGGCAAAGCAAUUGAAUGCAUGUGUUGACUUCAGGAUAUCUCAAGGACGAGUUAGAAUCUAUGACGCUCAGGUAAAAUUAACUUAUUUUGCUCUUUGCAUCAGUAUGUUCCAAAUUAACUGCACAAAAUUUAAUUAGGUGAUUAUUUUCUGUAGGGAUGCAUCCUCUGCUUGCUACACAAACUGAGGAAACCAAAGCAGCAAAGCAUUGUACUGCAGAUGUCGACUUCGGAAUAUCUCAUGAACCAGUUAUACUCCUUGAUGCUCACGUAAAAUUAACUUAUUUUGCUCUCUGCAAUUGCAUAAUAGAACGGUUGAGCUAAACAUCUCGCUGCUGAUAUUUUCAAAUGUAUUGCAACUACUAUACAACCCAUCCAUCGUAAUUGGUAUGUUGAGACUGGAUCGUAGUAGUUGUUCUGCCUCAUCUAUCACUAUCUGCGGGCUUGCUUUGAUUAUGUUUCUCCCAACUUUCUGUAACUAAAAAGCAGCCUGUAAAUGUAGCUUGAAUAAAAAUGGUACCUUUCAGUUUUGUGCAAGUUCAAAGUAUUAGUAGUUUUAGUUUGUCCAAUUUUUGCAGGGAUAUUGUGUGAGGUCUGGUACAAACUUUUAAGACAAUCACUUAAUACAUUCAUGGGAUCACCAACUUUUGGCGUUUGUUGAUACUAGCUAGGUGGGGCCAUGAAGACACGAUUCAUGGGAUUACCAACUGCUGGUAUAGCUUAUUCUUUUCUGUUGCAGCUAUUCCGGAGAAGUUUAGAGCUUCUGCAACCUUUUGAAGACACGAUUUGUAGUUGCGGAGAUGAAACAAUCAAUCAGUUGCGAUGCAUUACAUAAUCUUUUUGCUUUGGACAUUGAUGGGUAUUAUUUUGCCACAAAGGACAGGAGCUGUGCCAUUUGACUCGAAGGAUAAAGCGUUCAUCACAAGGGGGUGGUCUUUAGGAUGUACACAAAAGAGGAAAUUUCCUUUUGUAUAGAACCAAAUUAUAUGAUUUAAUUGACCAUUCUCUUGUACACAAUGUUUAUCAUGUAUUAAGUACAUUUUAUUGUCAAAUAUGUUUACUUUUUUUUAGUGCACAAGUUCAUAACUCCUUGGACUUUCUAAUUGCAGGCUCAACUAUUUGAAACCACUAAUCUGAUUUUGUUGGGUCUAUGUAUUAGUGUAUGUGUGUAUUGAAGUUUGGUGAGUCUCAG
rnacentral:lncRNA from 1 species